rnacentral:lncRNA from 1 species
CUCCAGGCCCCUCCCAGGCUCUGCAGCCCCCACGCCAGCUUGUGGCCGUUCAGAUCCUCCAGGUGGAAGACUAGGAUCAGCGUGGCUUUGUGUAUGGUGUCGUGCUGGACGCAGGGUCAUCCAGAACCACGGUGUACGUGUACCAGUGGCCAGCAGAGAAGGAGAACAACACCGGCGUGGUCAGCCAGACCUUCAAGUGCAGCGUGAAGGUGAGGGCACGGGCGGCCACUCUGCUCAGCCACUCGGGCCCCGUUCCUGCCUCCCUUGCCUCAGUUUUCCUCUGUGAAUAGGGGAGUCCAGGCUUCACUGCCUCACCUCCGUGCAGCUGGCAGCAGCCUCCCGGUCCCGGGGGCAAUGCCCAGGGCAUUGCUGCGGCCCUCACUGCGGCCAGCACCAGCCUUUCCCUGAG